CAGGGCGUCAGCAUGAAGGAGAAAGCCUUCUCUCGCAGCCGACUGACCUUCUCCAAGUCUGAUAAAGACCUGGUGAAUCAGGAGCGAUCACUGGCGAUCCAAAGAGAGGCAGAAUUCAGAUCGUUUAAACACAGAGAGUCGUCUCAGAAAGAGCAGAAGAGGAUCCAGAAGACCAUGUCGUCAGGGG